GCGAGAGUGGCGGAAUUGGCAGACGCGCUGGACUUAGGAUCCAGUGAUUCCACAAUCGUGGGGGUUCGAGUCCCCCCUCUCGCA
rnacentral:tRNA from 1 species